rnacentral:rRNA from 1 species
GGCUAACUACGUGCCAGCAGCCGCGGUAAUACGUAGGUGGCGAGCGUUAUCCGGAAUUAUUGGGCGUAAAGGGUGCGUAGGCGGCUGGUUAAGUUUGUGGUCAAAUCGUUGGGCUCAACCCAAUCCUGCCACAGAUACUGAUCAGCUAGAGUACUGGAGAGGGAAGUGGAAUUCCAUGUGUAGCGGUAAAAUGCGUAGAUAUAUGGAGGAACACCGGAGGCGAAGGCGGCUUCCUAGACAGAGACUGACGCUCAGGCACGAAAGCGUGGGGAGCAAAUAGGAUUAGAUACCCUAGUAGUCCACGCCGUAAACGAUGAAUGCUAAGUAUUGGGGCGACUCAGUGCUGCAGUUAACGCAAUAAGCAUUCCGCCUGUGGAGUAUGCACGCAAGUGUGAAACAUAAAGGAAUUGACGGGGGCCCGCACAAGCGGUGGAGUAUGUGGUUUAAUUCGACGCAACGCGAAGAACCUUACCAGGCCUUGACAUCCCUUGCGAAGUACUAGAGAUAGUACAGAGGUUAUCAAGGUGACAGGUGGUGCAUGGUUGUCGUCAGCUCGUGUCGUGAGAUGUUGGGUUAAGUCCCGCAACGAGCGCAACCCUUGUCUUCAGUUACCAAUAUUAAGUUAGGGACUCUGGAGAGACUGCCGGUGAUAAACCGGAGGAAGGUGGGGAUGACGUCAAAUCAUCAUGCCCCUUAUGGCCUGGGCUACACACGUACUACAAUGGCUGUUACAACGAGCAGCGACAUGGCGACAUGAAGCGAAUCUCUUAAAGACAGUCUCAGUUCGGAUUGGAGUCUGCAACCCGACUCCAUGAAGUUGGAAUCGCUAGUAAUCGCGGAUCAGCAUGCCGCGGUGAAUACGUUCUCGGGCCUUGCACUCACCGCCCG